AUCUGUGAUCCACUCCCACGAUUUUACUCUGAGGCAUUAGAUAGGGAUUGGCACACUGGUCAGUUUCAGUGUCAUGAUAACCUAUUAUGCAAUUUUCCUGCUGGGCAGCGCGUUACAGAGUAUAGUGGUUUGCAGCUUAUCUAGGCCAAAUUUUGAAUUCUGGUAAACAAGAUGUGCGCGCUUACUCCGUGCCGAUUUGAAUGAGAAGACUUUGCACCAUAAAACCACAAUAAUAACCUCGGGAUUUAUUAACUUUGAAUGCAUGGUGUUGAUUGCAUCAUCCGUAUUUUCAAAUUCCCACAUUCAAAAGACCCGCCUUUGGUGAAGGCAAAGGUGUUGUGCUAUUCUUUCCGAGGGGCGGAUUCCUUAUCAGCCUUUUCAGUGUAUG